UUGUUUUGUUUUGCUUUUCAGAAAAAAAUUUUAAAGUGUCCACAGCUUCCAUAUGUGAAAAUCUGAGGAUCACGCAUGUAUGUCUUACAGGUAUGACUGUUCCUUGGGCUCAGCUUCAUUGCCUUGGCUUCCAAAAAAUUCGCACUGAAAAGCCUGGCUCAGAAGGGCCAAUUCCCAGCCACUAAUAAACUGGAAAACCAUCUCCCAGCAACAGCUGGGAGGACGGCAGCAUCUGAUGGCAGAGAUGACAACACAGAGCCCUUCAGUAAACGGUGACGGCAAUGCCGGUGAUGCAGUGAGAAACGAGUGUUCUCAGAACCCUGGAUCGCUUGAAGUGCUAUUUCCUUUGUUCAUGUUUGGUAACCCUGAAGGGCCCCCACCAGUAAGAUGGCGAA